UGAAUUGGAUUAUUAUACUCUUUGUAAAUUUUCAUAUAUUAGGCUAAAAGGAUUCGCUUUUGUAUCAGGGCGUCUCAGCCACUGUCAAGCAAGAUGCGUGCACAUCAUUUCAUGUCUUUGAGCUCUGCUCACGAGAUGACAAUCCCUUGAAAGCUCUAUCUACCACAGAUGUACUUACUGGUUAAGAACAUGGUUAAAUCCAGGUUUCUUUUUAAAUGAGUUGCAAUGACUCUCUUCCAUAUGGGAAGACAAAAUUAUAUCACUGCGGUCGACAUGGAACUUGCUCUAUCUUGACACCUUAUUAUCCACGACAUAAUGUGCAUGCAAUGCAUCUACACAAAAUGUUAAGAUGUUCCAUUCUAACAUCAGCAGCUCCUCUUAUAAGAUUCAUUAUGGUGGUACUGGCCAGAAAUCUACAGCUGCUACAAUGAAACAAAAUCUUCUUUGAGAGAUCCUUGUCACAUCUUCUCAUUCAGGUCUUGGUUUAAUUCCGAAGGUUCUGCAGCUCCUGUUCAAUGACUAUCUUUUAAUGCGAGAUGAUCAUUGUUUAUGAUAAUGUUUCACAGAACUCAUUUUGAGGAUCUACCUGUUUAUUGCUUGUGGCC